rnacentral:rRNA from 1 species
ACUCAAAGGAAUAGACGGGGGCCCGCACAAGCGGUGGAGCAUGUUGUUUAAUUCGAUGCAACGCGAAGAACCUUACCAAGAUUUGACAUGGGGACGACAGGGUUAGAGAUAAUCCAUCCCUUCGGGGCGUCCUACACAGGUGGUGCAUGGUUGUCGUCAGCUCGUGUCGUGAGAUGUUGGGUUAAGUCCCGCAACGAGCGCAACCCUUACCGUUAGUAGCCAGCAGUGAGAUGGGCACUCUAGCGGGACUGCCGUGGAUAACACGGAGGAAGGCGGGGAUGAGGUCAAAUCAUCAUGCCCUUUAUGUCUUGGGCCACAAACGUGCUACAAUGGCUAUAACAAAGUGAAGCAAGCAGGUGACUGUAAGCCAACCACAAAAAAAUAGUCUCAGUUCGGAUUGGAGUCUGCAACCCGACUCCAUGAAGCUGGAAUCGCUAGUAAUCGCGGAUCAGCAUGUCGCGGUGAAUACGUUCCCGGGCCUUGUACACACCGCCCGU